rnacentral:rRNA from 1 species
AGUGAACGCUGGCGGUAGGCCUAACACAUGCAAGUCGAACGGCAGCACAGUAAGAGCUUGCUCUUACGGGUGGCGAGUGGCGGACGGGUGAGGAAUACAUCGGAAUCUACUUUUUCGUGGGGGAUAACGUAGGGAAACUUACGCUAAUACCGCAUACGACCUACGGGUGAAAGCAGGGGAUCUUCGGACCUUGGGCGAUUGAAUGAGCCGAUGUCGGAUUAGCUAGUUGGCGGGGUAAAGGCCCACCAAGGCGACGAUCGGUAGCUGGUCUGAGAGGAUGACCGGCAAGAUUGGGACUGAUAUACGGCCCAGACUCCUAGGGGAGGCAGCAGUGGGGAAUAUUGUACAAUGGGAGGAAGCAUGAUGAAGCAACGCCGCGUGCGGGAUGACGGCCGACGGGUUGUAAACCGCUUUCGCCUGUGACGAAGCGGGAGUGACGGGAAUGGGUAAAGAAGCACCGGCUAACUACGUG